UACGAAGGUUGCAAGCGUUACUCGGAAUUACUAGGCGUAAAGGGCAGGUAGGUGGUUUGGUAAGUCUAUUGUGAAAGCUCCCGGCUUAACCGGGAGAGGCCAAUGGAUACUGCCAAGCUUGAGUAUAGGAGAGGUUACUGGAAUUCCCGGUGUAGCGGUGAAAUGCGCAGAUAUCGGGAGGAACACCAAUGGCGAAAGCAGGUAACUGGACUAUUACUGACACUCAACUGCGAAAGCUAGGGGAGCAAACAGG
rnacentral:rRNA from 1 species